GACGAACGCUGGCGGCGUGCUUAACACAUGCAAGUCGAGCGGUAAGGCCCUUUCGGGGGUACACGAGCGGCGAACGGGUGAGUAACACGUGGGUGACCUGCCCUUAGCUCUGGGAUAAGCCUGGGAAACUGGGUCUAAUACCGGAUAUGACUCCAUAACGCAUGUUGUGGGGUGGAAAGCCUUGUGCGGCUAGGGAUGGGCCCGCGGCCUAUCAGCUUGUUGGUGGGGUGAUGGCCACCAAGGCGACGACGGGUAGCCGGCCUGAGAGGGCAACCGGCCACACUGGGACUGAGACACGGCCCAGACUCCUACGGGAGGCAGCAGUGGGGAAUCUUGCGCAAUGGGCGAAAGCCUGACGCAGCGACGCCGCGUGGGGAUGAC
rnacentral:rRNA from 1 species